rnacentral:rRNA from 1 species
UACGGGGGGGGCAAGCGUUGUUCGGAAUUACUGGGCGUAAAGGGCUCGUAGGCGGCCAACUAAGUCGGAUGUGAAAUCCCCAGGCUCAACUUGGGAACUGCAUCCGAUACUGGAUGGCUUGAAUUCGGGAGAGGGAUGCAGAAUUCCAGGUGUAGCGGUGAAAUGCGUAGAUAUCUGGAGGAAUACCGGUGGCGAAGGCGGCAUCCUGGACCGACAUUGACGCUGAGGCGCGAAAGCCAGGGGAGCAAACGGG